GCGCCCGUAGCUCAGCUGGAUAGAGUCGCAGGCUUCGAACCUGUUGGUCGCACGUUCGAAUCGUGCCGGGCGCGCCA
rnacentral:tRNA from 1 species